rnacentral:rRNA from 1 species
AAAGUUUUUCGGUGUAGGAUGAGACUAUAUAGUAUCAGCUAGUUGGUAAGGUAAUGGCUUACCAAGGCUAUGACGCUUAACUGGUCUGAGAGGAUGAUCAGUCACACUGGAACUGAGACACGGUCCAGACUCCUACGGGAGGCAGCAGUAGGGAAUAUUGCGCAAUGGGGGAAACCCUGACGCAGCAACGCCGCGUGGAGGAUGACACUUUUCGGAGCGUAAACUCCUUUUCUUAGGGAAGAAUUCUGACGGUACCUAAGGAAUAAGCACCGGCUAACUCCGUGCCAGCAGCCGCGGUAAUACGGAGGGUGCAAGCGUUACUCGGAAUCACUGGGCGUAAAGGGCGCGUAGGCGGAUUAUCAAGUCUCUUGUGAAAUCUAAUGGCUUAACCAUUAAACUGCUUGGGAAACUGAUAGUCUAGAGUGAGGGAGAGGCAGAUGGAAUUGGUGGUGUAGGGGUAAAAUCCGUAGAUAUCACCAAGAAUACCCAUUGCGAAGGCGAUCUGCUGGAACUCAACUGACGCUAAGGCGCGAAAGCGUGGGGAGCAAACAGGAUUAGAUACCCUGGUAGUCCACGCCCUAAACGAUGUACACUAGUUGUUGGGGUGCUAGUCAUCUCAGUAAUGCAGCUAACGCAUUAAGUGUACCGCCUGGGGAGUACGGUCGCAAGAUUAAAACUCAAAGGAAUAGACGGGGACCCGCACAAGCGGUGGAGCAUGUGGUUUAAUUCGAAGAUACGCGAAGAACCUUACCUGGGCUUGAUAUCCUAAGAACCUUUUAGAGAUAAGAGGGUGCUAGCUUGCUAGAACUUAGAGACAGGUGCUGCACGGCUGUCGUCAGCUCGUGUCGUGAGAUGUUGGGUUAAGUCCCGCAACGAGCGCAACCCACGUAUUUAGUUGCUAACGGUUCGGCCGAGCACUCUAAAUAGACUGCCUUCGUAAGGAGGAGGAAGGUGUGGACGACGUCAAGUCAUCAUGGCCCUUAUGCCCAGGGCGACACACGUGCUACAAUGGCAUAUACAAUGAGACGCAAUACCGCGAGGUGGAGCAAAUCUAUAAAAUAUGUCCCAGUUCGGAUUGUUCUCUGCAACUCGAGAGCAUGAAGCCGGAAUCGCUAGUAAUCGUAGAUCAGCCAUGCUACGGUGAAUACGUUCCCGGGUCUUGUACUCACCGCCCGUCACACCAUGGGAGUUGAUUUCACUCGAAGCCGGAAUACUAAACUAGUUACCGUCCACAGUGGAAUCAGCGACUGGGGUGAAGUCGUAACAAGGUAACCGUAGGAGAACCUGCGGUUGGAUCACCUCCUUU